rnacentral:siRNA from 1 species
AGGAAUGCUUCUGAUUCAUUGU